GAUGAAGAACGUAGCGAAAUGCGAUAAGUAAUGUGAAUUGCAGAAUUCAGUGAAUCAUCGAAUCUUUGAACGCACAUUGCGCCCGCCAGUAUUCUGGCGGGCAUGCCUGUCCGAGCGUCAUUUCAACCCUCGAACCCCUCCGGGGGGUCGGCGUUGGGGAUCGGGAACCCCUAAGACGGGAUCCCGGCCCCGAAAUACAGUGGCGGUCUCGCCGCAGCCUCUCCUGCGCAGUAGUUUGCACAACUCGCACCGGGAGCGCGGCGCGUCCACGUCCGUAAAACACCCAACUUCUGAAAUGUUGACCUCGGAUCAGGUAGGAAUACCCGCUGGACUUAAGCAUAUCAAUAAGCGGAGGA
rnacentral:misc_RNA from 1 species